UGCGAGUCAUUGUAGCAAUACAAGGCAGACGGCUCAGUAACGCGUAGUCAAUCUACCCUAUGGACGGGAAUAACCUCGGGAAACUGAGGAUAAUGCCCGACAGAACAUUAUACCUGGAACGGUUUAUGUUUCAAAUGAUUUAUCGCCGUAGGAUGGGACUGCGGCCUAUCAGUUUGUUGGUGAGGUAAUGGCCCACCAAGACUAUUACAGGUACGGGCUCUGAGAGGAGUAGCCCGGAGAUGGGUACUGAGACACGGACCCAGGCCCUAUGGGGCGCAGCAGGCGAGAAAACUUUGCAAUGUGCGAAAGCACGACAAGGUUAAUCCGAGUGGUUUCUGCUAAAGAAACCUUUUGCUAGUCCUAGAAACACUAGUGAAUAAGGGGUGGGCAAGUUCUGGUGUCAGCCGCCGCGGUAAAACCAGCACCUCAAGUGGUCAGGAUGAUUAUUGGGCCUAAAGCAUCCGUAGCUCGUUUUGUAAGUUUUCGGUUAAAUCCAUACGCUUAACGUAUGGGCUGCCGGGAAUACUGCAUAACUAGGAAGUGGGAGAGGUAGACGGUACUCGGUAGGAAGGGGUAAAAUCCUUUGAUCUAUUGAUGACCACCUGUGGCGAAGGCGGUCUACCAGAACACGUUCGACGGUGAGGGAUGAAAGCUGGGGGAGCAAACCGGAUUAGAUACCCGGGUAGUCCCAGCUGUAAACUAUGCAAACUCAGUGAUGCAUUGGCUUGUGGCCAAUGCAGUGCUGCAGGGAAGCCGUUAAGUUUGCCGCCUGGGAAGUACGUACGCAAGUAUGAAACUUAAAGGAAUUGGCGGGGGAGCACCACAAGGGUGAAGCCUGCGGU
rnacentral:rRNA from 1 species